rnacentral:lncRNA from 1 species
GGAGACCGGUCAGGAGGAGGACGAUGGCGAUGGCUGUGAUUGGUUUUGAAUGACAUGUGGGUCCGCUCAAGGUCUUUCUCUCUAUCUUGUGAGAAUGACAAGUGGAUCCUAUUAUUUUUUUGUGUCUUGAUUUUCCAGUGUGAUGGACACCUCAUCAAAACCAUUGCCACAUUGUACCAAAAUCAGAGCGGUUUUGGUUUAGGGUUGUAAUUUAUCCGAUUUUAAUAGUUGUAUGG